GAACACUUGUUUCAACUGUGGCCAAUAUGGCCACUGGAGGAAUGAGUGUCCACACCCCAGGAAACCCCAGGAAACCCCACACACCCCAACAACCCCACAAUUCUCAAAAUAUGCCCGGUAGGCAAGAACAACACCAGACCCACUCCCAACACCACUGGCCAGCAUAUCGCUUAGUUCAGGACUUUAGAGCCCUGAAUAGUUUAAUUGUGCCCAUUUCACCCAUUGUCCCUGAUGUGACAUCCCUCAUUACAGCCAUUCCACAUGAUGCCACUUGCUUCACUGUCAUUGAUUUAAGUAAUACAUUUUUUUCUAUACCUAUUGAUCAAGAGACACAGCUACUUAUGGUUUUUACUUUUUGAAGGCUGUCAGUUUACCUGGACACGCUUACCCAAGGCUAUGUGGAUUCCCCAGCUGUUUAUUCGCUGGUACUCCAACAUACUCUAAAAAAAACAUGGACCAUCGGUCAUGGUUCCGUCCUUUUUGCAAAAUGUUGAUGAUUUGUUGUUAUGUAGCCCUAGCUAUGAGGCAAGCACUGUGGAUACUGUCAGCAACUGUAGGUCACAAGGUUGUUAAACACAAAAUGCAAUUGUGUAAAUCAAAGGUUGAAUACUUAGGUUUUGUUCUGGCUUUAGGCACCAGACAAUUGAGUCCAAAAUGUAUUGAGGUCAUUCAGAGGAUUCCUACACCCACUACUCGGAAGGAGUUGCUCACCUUCCUCGGCAUGAUUAAUUACUGCCACCAAUGGAUCCCUGAAUGCUCCCAUUAUAACUCAAUCCUAAGGGAGGCUGUACGUUCUGACAGCCCUGAAAAUGUCUGCUGGUCACCAGACAUGCUAGCUGCAUAUAUUGCCCUUACAGUUGUUAUUGUGCAAGCCCAGGCUUUAGGACUACCUGUGUAUUGUAAACCAUUUCAUUUGUAUGCUUGGGACAAUUGUAAAACCAUGGCCGCGGUCUGUGCACAAGAGCAAGGAGGCGGUAUGCGUCCCAUAGCAUUCUUUUCCAAAGUAGUUCGAGCUCCGGUACAGGGUAUGCCGGCGUGUCUCAGAGCAUUGAUAGCAUGUGCAAUGGCUGUUGAAACUGCUACUACUAUCACACUAGGGCAUCCUACAAUACUUCAUGCCAGUCACCAGGUCACUCAGCUGAUAACAAAUCUCACCACACAACACAUGACAGCCCAGCGCUUCAGUGGUUAUGAGAUUCUUUUUUUUUUUUUAAAUACCCACAAUCUGUUUUUUGGAUUAAACAAGGUUUAGAGAAAGAUCAAAAUGAUCUGUUCUCUAAAGAGGGGAGAAUAGGCAUACUUGAAGAAUAGGCAUACUUGAAGCAAGCUGAUUUAUUUUCAUCAGUCAGGCACAUAGCAAGCACCAUUCAAUUCCUCAUGAAUUCAUUUUAUAUUAGGAAUCUCAGGCAGCAUGUACAGUCUUUUGUAAGUUUGUGUGAACGCUGCUCUUUUUACACACUUACAGAUUGAUUUUAUUCAUGUAUCCAAAAUUGGUAAGAAACAGCAAUACUUACUGGUCAUAGUUAAUCAGUUUAGUAGAUGGCAUGAGGCCUUUGUGAUAUCUAGGGAAGAUUCUAGUGAAGUUUAUUGUUACUGAAAUUAUUCCCAGGUAUGGCUGCCCUCUGCAGAUUGGCUCUGAUAAUGGCCCGGUUUUUGCCAGUAAGGUUGCCCAGGAACUUGCUAAAUUCUUGCAAGUUACCUGGCAGUUUCAUAUACCCUAUCAUCCACAGAAUACAGGGGUAGUUGAAAGGAUGAAUAGGACUAUUAAGGAAAAGCCCAGAAUUUACCCAGGAACAUGGGUAAAUUGGACUAGAUAUCUAUCAGCUAUUUUAGCUGAGAUAAGAAUGAAUCCCCACAAGGUGACUAAAUUAUCUCCAUCUGAGAUUUUUGAUGGGAUGACCUUUUCCCACACCCUGGGCCAGGGAACCGCUUGUUAUAAUGUCAGGGGAUUUACAGCUUAUACAAGAACAAUAUGUACAGGAAUUGUUGAUAAAACCGAAUGGUAUGUAUGACAAUGUUUCUUCGCAGUUUUCCCUUACCUUCACAGGAACCUACUCAUUCAUACCAGCCCGGUGACAAGGUGUAUAUCCGUCAGCUGAACAGGACCAAGAAAGGAGGAUACCCUUUUGGACCACCUGCUACUGUGAUUGCUGUACCCAGAACCGCUGUCCACAGAUUCCCACGACAUCUGGAUUUACGCAUCCCGAGUGAAGCUGUGUCCAAAGAGGGGAACCAAGGAAGACAACACCACUCCUCGCUCGGAAACAGAAGAAUUUCUCCUCAGCGAAGCAUCAUGGCUUUUACACCAUAUCGUAGAUUGAGAGGAUCAUACGUACCUGAGACCAAGAUUAUGUUGUGUGCUAUGCUUUCUGGAGUUGUUAUACUCCCUCUGAUAUUG